rnacentral:rRNA from 1 species
GACGUAGGGCGCGAGCGUUGUCCGGAUUUAUUGGGCGUAAAGAGCUCGUAGGCGGCUUGUCGCGUCGUCCGUGAAAACCUGCGGCUCAACUGCAGGCUGCCGGCCGAUACUGUCAGGCUCGAGUCCGGAAGAGGCGAGUGGAAUUCCUGGUGUAGCGGUGAAAUGCGCAGAUAUCAGGAGGAACACCAAUGGCGAAGGCAGCUCGCUGGGACGGUACUGACGCUGAGACGCGAAAGCGUGGGGGAGCAAACAGG